rnacentral:rRNA from 1 species
GGGUUGUGAGGUUAAGCGACUAAGCGUACACGGUGGAUGCCUAGGCAGUCAGAGGCGAUGAAGGGCGUGCUAAUCUGCGAUAAGCGUCGGUAAGCUGAUAUGAAGCGUUAUACCCGACGAUACCCGAAUGGGGAAACCCAGUGUGUUUCGACACACUAUCAUGACAUGAAUACAUAGUGUCAUGAGGCGAACCGGGGGAACUGAAACAUCUCAGUACCCCGAGGAAAAGAAAUCAACCGAGAUUCCCCCAGUAGCGGCGAGCGAACGGGGAGGAGCCCAGAACCUGAAUCAGUUUGUGUGUUAGUGGAAGCGUCUGGAAAGUCGCACAGUAAAGGGUGAUAGUCCCGUACACAAAAAUGCACAAAUUGUGAGUUCGAUGAGUAGGGCGGGACACGUGACAUCCUGUCUGAAUAUGGGGGGACCAUCCUCCAAGGCUAAAUACUCCUGACUGACCGAUAGUGAACCAGUACCGUGAGGGAAAGGCGAAAAGAACCCCGGCGAGGGGAGUGAAAUAGAACCUGAAACCGUGUACGUACAAGCAGUGGGAGCCUACUUGUUAGGUGACUGCGUACCUUUUGUAUAAUGGGUCAGCGACUUAUAUUCUGUAGCAAGGUUAACCGUAUAGGGGAGCCGCAGGGAAACCGAGUCUUAACUGGGCGUUAAGUUGCAGGGUAUAGACCCGAAACCCGGUGAUCUAGCCAUGGGCAGGUUGAAGGUUGGGUAACACUAACUGGAGGACCGAACCGACUAAUGUUGAAAAAUUAGCGGAUGACUUGUGGCUGGGGGUGAAAGGCCAAUCAAACCGGGAGAUAGCUGGUUCUCCCCGAAAGCUAUUUAGGUAGCGCCUCGUGAAUUCAUCUUCGGGGGUAGAGCACUGUUUCGGCUAGGGGGUCAUCCCGACUUACCAACCCGAUGCAAACUACGAAUACCGAAGAAUGUUAUCACGGGAGACACACGGCGGGUGCUAACGUUCGUCGUGAAGAGGGAAACAACCCAGACCGCCAGCUAAGGUCCCAAAGUCAUGGUUAAGUGGGAAACGAUGUGGGAAGGCAUAGACAGCCAGGAUGUUGGCUUAGAAGCAGCCAUCAUUUAAAGAAAGCGUAAUAGCUCACUGGUCGAGUCGGCCUGCGCGGAAGAUGUAACGGGGCUAAACCAUGCACCGAAGCUGCGGCAGCGACACUUAGGUGUUGUUGGGUAGGGGAGCGUUCUGUAAGCCUGCGAAGGUGGCCUGUGAGGGCUGCUGGAGGUAUCAGAAGUGCGAAUGCUGACAUAAGUAACGAUAAUGCGGGUGAAAAACCCGCACGCCGGAAGACCAAGGGUUCCUGUCCAACGUUAAUCGGGGCAGGGUGAGUCGACCCCUAAGGCGAGGCUGAAAAGCGUAGUCGAUGGGAAACAGGUUAAUAUUCCUGUACUCGGUGUUACUGCGAAGGGGGGACGGAGAAAGCUAGGUUAUCCGGGCGACGGUUGUCCCGGUUUAAGCGUGAAGGUGGGUGACUUUGGUAAAUCCGGGUCAUCGUUAACACUGAGGCGUGAUGACGAGUCACUACGGUGAUGAAGUAACCGAUGCUACGCUUCCAGGAAAAGCCUCUAAGCUCCAGGUAACAUCAAAUCGUACCCCAAACCGACACAGGUGGUCAGGUAGAGAAUACUCAGGCGCUUGAGAGAACUCGGGUGAAGGAACUAGGCAAAAUGGUGCCGUAACUUCGGGAGAAGGCACGCUGAUGGUAGGUGAAGUGACUUGCUCAUGGAGCUGAAAUCAGUCGAAGAUACCAGCUGGCUGCAACUGUUUAAUAAAAACACAGCACUGUGCAAACACGAAAGUGGACGUAUACGGUGUGACGCCUGCCCGGUGCCGGAAGGUUAAUUGAUGGGGUCAGCCGCAAGGCGAAGCUCUUGAUCGAAGCCCCGGUAAACGGCGGCCGUAACUAUAACGGUCCUAAGGUAGCGAAAUUCCUUGUCGGGUAAGUUCCGACCUGCACGAAUGGCGUAAUGAUGGCCAGGCUGUCUCCACCCGAGACUCAGUGAAAUUGAACUCGCUGUGAAGAUGCAGUGUACCCGCGGCAAGACGGAAAGACCCCGUGAACCUUUACUAUAGCUUGACACUGAACCUUGAGCCUUGAUGUGUAGGAUAGGUGGGAGGCUUUGAAGCGUGGACGCCAGUCUGCGUGGAGCCAACCUUGAAAUACCACCCUUUAAUGUUUGAUGUUCUAACGUGGACCCGUAAUCCGGGUUGCGGACAGUGUCUGGUGGGUAGUUUGACUGGGGCGGUCUCCUCCCAAAGCGUAACGGAGGAGCACGAAGGUUAGCUAAUCCUGGUCGGACAUCAGGAGGUUAGUGCAAAGGCAUAAGCUAGCUUGACUGCGAGAGUGACAGCUCGAGCAGGUGCGAAAGCAGGUCUUAGUGAUCCGGUGGUUCUGAAUGGAAGGGCCAUCGCUCAACGGAUAAAAGGUACUCCGGGGAUAACAGGCUGAUACCGCCCAAGAGUUCAUAUCGACGGCGGUGUUUGGCACCUCGAUGUCGGCUCAUCACAUCCUGGGGCUGAAGUAGGUCCCAAGGGUAUGGCUGUUCGCCAUUUAAAGUGGUACGCGAGCUGGGUUUAGAACGUCGUGAGACAGUUCGGUCCCUAUCUGCCGUGGGCGUUGGAAGAUUGAGAGGGGUUGCUCCUAGUACGAGAGGACCGGAGUGAACGCACCACUGGUGUACGGGUUGUGAUGCCAAUUGCAUUGCCCGGUAGCUAAGUGCGGAAGAGAUAACCGCUGAAAGCAUCUAAGCGGGAAACUUGCCUCGAGAUGAGUCUUCCCUGG